CAGUAAAUCUUUUAAUAAUCAUCCUUCUUGUUCAUUGGUUUGUAAAACUGUGUGGCUUGGAAAUGAUAUGCUGAAAGUUAAAGAGCUGAAACAGAAAAUGUUUAAAGGUAAUUUCACAUCAAUUGUUACAGUUUUUAAAACUUUAAAAGAAAUCGAAGUUACAUUAAGUAAUGAAUUAGGGGCUUACAUUUGACAAGAAAAUUAUUAGUUUAACGUUUGUGCAUUGUCAAAAUAAAUCAUUACUUUGUCCUAAAGUUUUGUGGAGAUGUACCAAGCCGAGGUUAAAACCUUCAUUCCGAAAUUAUUUUAGAUUAUGAAAGUUAUUGACAAGCAACUCAUACAAAUGGAUUCAUGGUCUUUACAAGGGAAAUGAAGGUACCAAAAAGAAUUUUCAAACUCAUAUGUCGAAAAUGGAAUUGAAAAUUACAUUAUAAUUAGCACAAAAAGAAUAACACCAAAACACAAACAACAAUAUAAAAAACAACAUAAAAAACUAAGGAUUCGACUGAGCAACACGAACAAAACCGAAAAAUCGUGGUGAUCUCAAAUGUGAUGGAAGGGAAAAUAGAUCUUGCUCCACAUGUUUUACCUAUAUUUUUGAUCAUGUAAGUACGAACACCGAUGUUGAGAAUUCUAAAUGGAUGGUAAAAUUUCUAAGAAAAUAGGACGGGAUUAUGAAAACGACAUUUGUCAUCUGUGAGACAGAUAUCCAGAAAGGUCAACCAAAUCGUGAUGGUGUUCGUAAAAUUAUCAAAAGGACGACUUCAACUUUUCAAUUUUGAACUCUUGGUCAGUUUUCGUGUAAGAAGCAACCUUCUUUCAAAGAAAUCAAGAUAUGAAAGGCAUGUUCUAAAAUAUUGUAACAACUGGGAGAUGUAUAGUCCCGACUGCUCAGAAAUUUAUCAACAAUUUUAGAUAAAGAGAAAUGCAGUUUCCAAAACCAAGCCGUAACUAGGCAUCUUCUUUUAGUGAGGCAAAAGAAUUGAUUUUUUUUUGAAGUAUGAAAUGAAGUGCAAAAAUCCUGCAUUCUAGGCAUUUAGAGAGUUUGAUAAUGUUUUGAAUUGGACACUUUUUAUAUAAUUUUCAUAUUUUAAGAUUUUUACUAACACAAAUUUUAACAACUUAUUUAAAUUUAAUGCAAGACAAUCAUUCAAAUAUCACUGAUGAGUCUGUUGCCAGAACAUAGAACAAACAUCGAUCAGAAGAGUUUGAAUUUUUAUAUGGCCGGUUCAGUCAAUCGUUCAGAAUCAUAAUUGUCUGCUGAUAUCUAAUGAACGGGCAUGGCAAGACCUCACAAUCUCUCGCCACUCAUGCUGCUCUUUUCCAAGUUUUUCAGUCGUUUCAGGGCAGUCUGUGUUUCUACGGUAGCACAUUAUCAUCAACCAAUGAUCAAUGCUUCUUCCAUUCCUUCUCCUCAGCAAUUGUUAGCAGCUUUUGUUUGAAAGGAAUAAGCUUUCUGUAAGCACCAUCAUACAGUCGCUGUUACAAAAUAUUAAACUCGCUUUUAUGCUGACAAAGAUAGACAAGCUAGAUAGAAUGAGAUACAUACAUGUGAUAUGAUUCUAUCAUAGAGUAAGUAUAUAUGAUAUGGGUACAGGAAAAUUGGAAUGGAGUUUUGACGUUUACAUGUAGUACCGUAAUUUCAAAUUAUUUCUGGAAAAAGUUGGUGCUAUUUAGUUUCAGGUUAGGGAUGGGUGUCCGAUUCCGAAACCCCAAAUAUAAAGAAACGAAAUUCAGUAGUCCCGAAUAAGUAGACAUUUCGCAAUAAUAUCAAAUAUUCUUUCAACUUAUAAGAUUAAAGAAACAUGGAUAAAAACUAAUCCAUGCAUUCAUGUUUCAUAUUAUUUAUAUUUUAUUUAUCUGUAAAGAGAAGAUAAAGUUCGUGAAAUGAAUACGCAGAUAGGACUGCCCCUUGUGAAGCCCAGUACUUGAUUUGUCAAAAGUUGGUGAAACGGAGAAAUGAAUACGCAGACAGGACUGUCCCUUCCGAAGACAGUACUUUGAUUUGUCAGUCACUUAUCGUUUUGGAUUGUUCUAAUGAAGUUAUAUGCAAUAUCAGACUCUGUUUAAAAAAAAAACACAGUUUAAUACUAGAACAUUCCUUCUUUACCUUCAUGUCGCUUUUCCUUUUCUGCAAGAGCCUGUUUUUAACUAAAGAUCCAUGAUGAUUAUCGUUACUAGUUAAUGUAAUCGAGAAACAUCACCCCACUGAGAGCUGAGUUAUAUCAGAAGAAUAGUUAAAGGAAUGAUGACAAGUUAUAGCAAUCAAGUUGAACAGAAAACAAAUGACUAUUAAAUUAUAUAUAGUUUAAAAAAAAAAAUAAUCGUGUCGAAAUUUUAGUGAGGCAAUUGCCUCACUUGCCUCAAGGGUAGUUACGGCCUUGCACAUUAGAAAAUAUUUACUGAGAAGGACAAUGAAGAAUCAUAAGUUAAAAAUAAAACCCAAUUUUAUGACCAAAAGAAAAUCUAUAAAGAUUAUCAACAGCCCAUAUAUCCUGUUCUACCUAAGAUACAAUAAGGUAAAAAAACAUAUCUUUAAGAUAAUGAAUAUCUGAUAACUUAAUAAAAUGACAAUUUUAAAAGUUUCAACAGUUUACCAUCUACAUAUGGCUUUCAAUAUCUUUUCUUUAAAUGUUUCUGUUUAUUUUAGAGUACGCUAUUCGGAGAAUUAAAACGUCCCUACAAGGAAAUGUAAAUUGGAAAAUAAAAUACCGAAAAACAAAAAAUAGAAACAGAAGAAGAAUAAGAUCCAAGCAUAAUAAAAUAUAUAUGACUAGGA
rnacentral:lncRNA from 1 species